rnacentral:lncRNA from 1 species
CCUUUUUUUUUUUUUAGACCUUCAAUCUGUUACAGAUUUUACAGAACAGGUUUGGCCUUAUACAUGCAUAUUUACUACCUCUGAGUCCUGCAUCUGUGGAUGUGGAAGCAGAUGUACCUCAAAGCUUUCAAAAGCCAUGACUUAGGAGCUGGGUGACUAUUCUCCAGACAGAAGUACUCUCUGCACCCCAUGGCCACAUCCACUAUGGGACCGAAGCAUCCUUGUACAGAAUUCUGUGGCCGUUCCUUAGUGUGAUGUUUCCUGGACUCUCCUCAACCUGCUCUCCUUGGCAUUUUCUGCUUGAAACUAGGUUUUACUUACUUGACACUAGGUCAUCUGCAGCAAGUGGCUUCCAGCCGCAGCCCCUUGGGAUUUGUCUAAGAUGUUUGAGAAUGAGGAGCGAGAGUGUAAACACUGACUGAGUCUGGGCAUUUCCCCAGGGUCAGGCUGGGAUUUUAAUGAGCUUUCUCUUUUAAAAGAGUUCAGAUUAAUGAGAGUGUGAUUUUAGCCACAGGGAAAUGGCCCGCUUUGAUCCACUACUGAUACCUUUAAAAAACAGAACAGCAGAGUGGGACAUGCCAGCCAUUCUCACCUGUUGCUUAAAACAGGCCUUUUAAGGGUUUCACUGCUGAGUCUGCCCGGUCAAAAACAUGUAGAAGCAUUAGAUUGUAAAGUCUAGAGUAUACAUCCUUUGAGGAAAAAUCAGAUUCAUUAAUCUUGAGGACUGGGAGCCAUGGUAUACACUUGUAGUCCCAGCAUACAGGUGGUAGAGGCAGAAGGAGCAAAGAUUAAGGCCAACCUGGGCUACAUGAUGAGACCCUGUCCCCAAAACAAACAACAAAAGGAGCUGGUGAGAUGGCUCGGUACAUGAAGCUCCUGCCAACCGUGGCCAGACAAUCUGAGUUCUGUUCCUGGGACCCAUGUGUGGACAGAGGGGACCAACUCCUGCAAGGUGUCUUCUGAUCUUCACCUGUGUGGUGUGUCACAAGGGAGCACUCUCUCUCUCUCUCUCUCUCUCUCUCUCUCUCUCUCUCUCACACACACACACACACACACACACACACACACACACACACACAAAACUGUAAGAGAAAUGAAAUAGCAAAAACUACCCUUGAAUACUUUCAUCUAUCUGCAAGUUAUAAAAUCGCCAGGUUUACAUUUGAAGCCAUAACAUCGGGUUCUCUAUGAUGGGUUGGCCCUUGUCCGGCUUUAUCAGUACCAGAACAGUAGCUGGCUUGCGUUGUCCUGCAUGUGUUAAACGUAAGAAGCAAUUUAUUAUGACAUAAUCUCUCAGAGUAACUGUCAUGUAAGUUGUGGUGUAUGUCUGUGUGUGUGUGCGUGUGUGUGUGUGUGUGUGCUGGUCAGCAGACAACCUCAAUUUUGUUCCUCAGGAGCUGGCCAUCUCCUUCCAUUGAGUCUCUCACUGGUCUAGAACUUGCCAAAUAAGCUGUGCUGCCUUACCAGUGAACUCCAGAGAUAUGUCUGUCUAUCCUUCCUAAUUCUGGAAUUACAAACUCACAUUCUCUACCCGUUGAUUAGUCCUUGUCUGGAUCACUUAAAGCCUCAGGCCUGAAAUUCCCCCACCACAUGGCCUUAAUUCGAGGAAGUGGUCUCGUGCUCCUCCAAGAGGCUGGGAUGGCCUGGUGCACAGCUAAGCAAAUGCUUCUUCAAGGACCCUUGCAGAUGACAAGGGAGCUUUGAGAGCCUGCUGUAUGUAUGAUGCUAGCUAGCACUUGGAGGCCAAGGCUGGAUUAUGAGUUUGAAGCCACCCUGGACUAUUUACUGACUGUCUAAAAAAGAAAAAAAAGCCCUGGGGGCUGGAGAGAUGCCUCAGUGGUUAAGAUCAUUGCUGCUCUCCCCUAAGACCCAGGUUCAAUUCGCAGCCCCCAUAUGGCAGCUCACACCUGUCUAACCCCAGUUCUGAGGGAUCCGAUGCUCACACAAACAUGCAGGCAAACCACCAAGGAACAUAAAAGUAAAAAUAAAUCAUAAGGGAUUGGGGAUUUAGCUCAGUGGUAGAGCGCUUGCCUAGCAAGCUCAAGGCCCUGGGUUCAGUCCCCAGCUCUGAAAAAAAGAAAAAAGAAAAAAAAAUCAUUAAAAAAAUUGUAGUUUGGGGGGUGGGAAUGGGAGAGGGGAGAAAAGGGGAUAACAUUUGAAAUGUAAAUACAUAAAAUAUCCAAGAAAAAUAAAAUUUAAAAAAU